rnacentral:lncRNA from 1 species
ACCACUGCAAAAGAUCUAGAUGUUUUUAUUUCCCUUGAUAGCUUAUGGGAAGUUUGCCUAAGGUGGCACUACUGCUUGAGGCAAUCAAGGUUCCCAUGUCCUCCUGCUUCCUGGUGUGCUGGAAAACAGGGGAAGGAAAGAGACUCUGCCAGAUCCCCUAGGGCUGCUGUGCUCUCCUUGGAAGGUCGCUUACCCUUUCAAGGUGAACUUCUCCGCAUGGCUCUCUCCCAGUUUCAAUAACUUCUCCUUCCCUGUGUCCUUUUGGACUUAGGGGUGUUAACUCCUUACCAACUUAGCAUUCUUACACUACCCAUUGUGAUUCUCCUACACGCACACCUCUGUAAAUAGUCUUUUUGUAAAUACAUCCUACUCAAGUUAUCCUGAUUUGAGUGUGCUAUCUGUUCUGUAUUGGAAUCCUGAUUUAUACACAACAUAAACAGAGUGGAAUCAAAGAAGAGGACUCAUUCCUGUAAUGCAAGUUAACAAGACAUGGAUUCUCACUAUGACACCCAGGCUGGAGUGCAGUGGCACGAUCAUAGCUGACUACAGCCUCGAAUUUCUGGGCUCAAGCAAGGCUUUCAUCUCAACCUCCCCAAGAGCUGGGAUUACAGAUGGUGUCAGAAGCAGGGUUCAAAGUAGAGCUUUAAUGACCCCCAGAAGUGCUGAGUGAACAAGCAAGGUACCUGCAAGGACCCACUUGUGUCCUUUGAUCUCUCAGAGCAGUGGAUGUGCUUGCUUCCCCUUUGCCUUCUGCCAUGAUUGUAAGUUUCCUGAGGCCUCCUACAUCAUGCCUCCUGUAUAGCCUGCAGAACUUAUUUACACACAGAUGCUCCAUGAUGGGUCACAUCCAAACUUAUCAUAAAGUCAAAAAAUUCAAGAAUUAAAUUUGAAAGACCAUAUGAAGAAGCACAGUAUUUAUCCAACCAACAUUAAAAUGUCACUCUGGGAGAUUAUUUCAAAUUACUUUUAUAGUUUUGAAUGAUUUUUAAUAUUAUCAUUGAUAAAUCAUCUAAGUUAUAAGUAAAAUAUUUCAAGUUUAGAAAAAAAGACUGUUGGGCCGGGUGUGGUGGCUCACACCUGUAAUCCCAGCACUGUGGAAGGCCGAGGCAGGUGGAUCACCUGAGGUCAGGAGUUCAAGACCACCCUGGCCAGCAUAGUGAAACGUAGUGAAACGUCAUCUCUACAAAGAUACAAAACUUAGCCGGGCAUAUUGGCGGGUGCCUGUAAUCCCAGCUACUCAGGAGGCUGAGGCGGGAGAAUGGCUUGAACCCAGGAGGCAGAGGUUGUAGUGAGCCGAGAUCAUGCCACUGCACUUCAGCCUGGGUGACAGAGCGAGAUUCCAUGUCAAAAAAAAAAAAAAAAAAAA